UACGUAGGGUGCGAGCGUUAAUCGGAAUUACUGGGCGUAAAGCGUGCGCAGGCGGUUUUGUAAGCCAGAUGUGAAAUCCCCGGGCUUAACCUGGGAAUGGCAUUUGGGACUGCAAGGCUGGAGUGUGGCAGAGGAGACUGGAAUUCCCGGUGUAGCAGUGAAAUGCGUAGAUAUCGGGAGGAACACCUGUGGCGAAAGCGGCUCACUGGACCAUUACUGACGCUGAGGCGCGAAAGCUAGGGGAGCAAACAGG
rnacentral:rRNA from 1 species